CGGUCCUGCAAGUCUUCCGUUAAAUCCAGCUGCUCAACAGAUGGGCUGCGGAGGAUACUACAGGGCUAGGAGGCGGGAGAGGCAAGCGGUACUUUAUGGGUAGGGGUAAAAUCCGUUGAUCCAUAGAAGACCACCAGUGGCGAAGGCGGCUUGCCAGAACGCGCUCGACGGUGAGGGAUGAAAGCUGGGGGAGCAAACCGGAUUAGAUACCCGGGUAGUCCCAGCUGUAAACGAUGCAGACUCGGUGAUGGGUUGGCUUCGUGCCAACCCAGUGCCGCAGGGAAGCCGUUAAGUCUGCCGCCUGGGGA
rnacentral:rRNA from 1 species